rnacentral:rRNA from 1 species
AACGAACGCUGGCGGCAUGCCUAACACAUGCAAGUCGAACGAGACCUUCGGGUCUAGUGGCGCACGGGUGCGUAACGCGUGGGAACCUGCCCUUAGGUUCGGAAUAACUCCCCGAAAGGGGUGCUAAUACCGGAUAAUGUCUUCGGACCAAAGAUUUAUCGCCUUUGGAUGGGCCCGCGUUGGAUUAGCUAGUUGGUAGGGUAAAAGCCUACCAAGGCGACGAUCCAUAGCUGGUCUGAGAGGAUGAUCAGCCACACUGGGACUGAGACACGGCCCAGACUCCUACGGGAGGCAGCAGUGGGGAAUAUGGGACAAUGGGCGAAAGCCUGAUCCAGCAAUGCCGCGGGAGUGAUGAAGGCCUUAGGGUUGUAAAGCUCUUUUACCCGGGAUGAUAAUGACAGUACCGGGAGAAUAAGCUCCGGCUAACUCCGU